AUUUUGAAAACCCUAAAUCUAAACACCAUUCUCUGGCCAGGGUUUGGCACAGAAAUGGAAUUCCAACAAGAGCAAGAAAAUAGCAAGAAGAAGAAGAAGACGAGAGAUUUGCCCAACUUGUCGGAAUGCCACUNNNNCGAUUCUUGCACCGGUAAGAACAGACUCCAAACCCUAUACAGUGAAUGGCGUAUUGUCCUCCUCUGUAAAAUUUGCUUUGCUCGCGUCGAGUCCUCCCAACUUUGUUCUUACUGUUUCAAAGGUUCGUCUGAUAAUU
rnacentral:misc_RNA from 1 species